CAUGCAAGUCGAACGCGUUGGCCCAAUUGAUUGAUGGUGCUUGCACCUGAUUGAUUUUGGUCGCCAACGAGUGGCGGACGGGUGAGUAACACGUAGGUAACCUGCCCAGAAGCGGGGGACAACAUUUGGAAACAGAUGCUAAUACCGCAUAACAGCGUUGUUCGCAUGAACAACGCUUAAAAGAUGGCUUCUCGCUAUCACUUCUGGAUGGACCUGCGGUGCAUUAGCUUGUUGGUGGGGUAACGGCCUACCAAGGCGAUGAUGCAUAGCCGAGUUGAGAGACUGAUCGGCCACAAUGGGACUGAGACACGGCCCAUACUCCUACGGGAGGCAGCAGUAGGGAAUCUUCCACAAUGGGCGCAAGCCUGAUGGAGCAACACCGCGUGAGUGAAGAAGGGUUUCGGCUCGUAAAGCUCUGUUGUUAAAGAAGAACACGUAUGAGAGUAACUGUUCAUACGUUGACGGUAUUUAACCAGAAAGUCACGGCUAACUACGUGCCAGCAGCCGCGGUAAUACGUAGGUGGCAAGCGUUAUCCGGAUUUAUUGGGCGUAAAGAGAGUGCAGGCGGUUUUCUAAGUCUGAUGUGAAAGCCUUCGGCUUAACCGGAGAAGUGCAUCGGAAACUGGAUAACUUGAGUGCAGAAGAGGGUAGUGGAACUCCAUGUGUAGCGGUGGAAUGCGUAGAUAUAUGGAAGAACACCAGUGGCGAAGGCGGCUACCUGGUCUGCAACUGACGCUGAGACUCGAAAGCAUGGGUAGCGAACAGGAUUAGAUACCCUGGUAGUCCAUGCCGUAAACGAUGAGUGCUAGGUGUUGGAGGGUUUCCGCCCUUCAGUGCCGGAGCUAACGCAUUAAGCACUCCGCCUGGGGAGUACGACCGCAAGGUUGAAACUCAAAGGAAUUGACGGGGGCCCGCACAAGCGGUGGAGCAUGUGGUUUAAUUCGAAGCUACGCGAAGAACCUUACCAGGUCUUGACAUCUUGCGCCAACCCUAGAGAUAGGGCGUUUCCUUCGGGAACGCAAUGACAGGUGGUGCAUGGUCGUCGUCAGCUCGUGUCGUGAGAUGUUGGGUUAAGUCCCGCAACGAGCGCAACCCUUGUUACUAGUUGCCAGCAUUAAGUUGGGCACUCUAGUGAGACUGCCGGUGACAAACCGGAGGAAGGUGGGGACGACGUCAGAUCAUCAUGCCCCUUAUGACCUGGGCUACACACGUGCUACAAUGGACGGUACAACGAGUCGCGAACUCGCGAGGGCAAGCAAAUCUCUUAAAACCGUUCUCAGUUCGGACUGCAGGCUGCAACUCGCCUGCACGAAGUCGGAAUCGCUAGUAAUCGCGGAUCAGCAUGCCGCGGUGAAUACGUUCCCGGGCCUUGUACACACCGCCCGUCACACCAUGAGAGUUUGUAACACCCAAAGUCGGUGGGGUAACCUUUUAGGAGCCA
rnacentral:rRNA from 1 species